rnacentral:rRNA from 1 species
GACGUAGGGGACGAGCGUUGUCCGGAUUCAUUGGGCGUAAAGCGCGCGUAGGCGGCCACGCAAGUCGGGUGUGAAAUCCCGGAGCUCAACUCCGGAACUGCACUCGAAACUGCGCGGCUUGAGGUAGGUAGGGGAGAUCGGAAUUCCUGGUGUAGCGGUGGAAUGCGCAGAUAUCAGGAGGAACACCGGUGGCGAAGGCGGGUCUCUGGGCCGAUACUGACGCUGAGGAGCGAAAGCGUGGGGAGCGAACAGG